AUUGAACGCUGGCGGCAUGCCUUACACAUGCAAGUCGAACGGCAGCGGGGGAGAAGCUUGCUUUUCCUGCCGGCGAGUGGCGAACGGGUGAGUAAUACAUCGGAACGUGCCCUGUAGUGGGGGAUAACUAGUCGAAAGAUUAGCUAAUACCGCAUACGACCUGAGGGUGAAAGUGGGGGACCGCAAGGCCUCAUGCUAUAGGAGCGGCCGAUGUCUGGUUAGCUAGUUGGUGGGGUAAAGGCCUACCAAGGCGACGAUCAGUAGCUGGUCUGAGAGGACGAUCAGCCACACUGGGACUGAGACACGGCCCAGACUCCUACGGGAGGCAGCAGUGGGGAAUUUUGGACAAUGGGCGAAAGCCUGAUCCAGCAAUGCCGCGUGUGUGAAGAAGGCCUUCGGGUUGUAAAGCACUUUUGUCCGGAAAGAAAUGGCUCUGGUUAAUACCUGGGGUCGAUGACGGUACCGGAGGAAUAAGGACCGGCUAACUACGUGCCAGCCGCCGCAGUAA
rnacentral:rRNA from 1 species